rnacentral:rRNA from 1 species
UACAGAGGUCCCAAGCGUUGUUCGGAUUCAUUGGGCGUAAAGGGUGCGUAGGCGGCGCGGUAAGUCGGGUGUGAAAUCUCGGGGCUUAACUCCGAAACUGCAUUCGAUACUGCCGUGCUUGAGGACUGGAGAGGAGACUGGGAAUUUACGGUGUAGCGGUGAAAUGCGUAGAUAUCGUAAGGAAGACCAGUGGCGAAGGCGGGUCUCUGGACAGUUCCUGACGCUGAGGCACGAAGGCCAGGGGAGCAAACGGG